rnacentral:snoRNA from 12 species
AAGCUACACUCUGUGCCAGUAGUCCACCAGGACGAUGAUCUGGCUCAAUUUGAGCUUUGCUACAAUGACGCUCAGUCCCACAUCAGUCAGCGUUCAUCCCACUGUGAUUUCUGUUGAGAUGUGGGCUGACACAUU